CGAGGAGCCCGGCUCCUCCGGUCUGUGCGAAGGCGGGCUGCGAUCCCCGCCCCCAGCUGAAGGUCCUCAGCUGUCCCCUGCCCUCCUCACCGCCGCCCCGUCCUGGGAAUCAACAGAGCUGUCCUGGGACCGGAGCCUUCCAGCUCCUGUCCCAGCUCUCCUUCCCAGCUGCCAUGGAACGUGUGCUCCGGCAUUCUGUUACCUUCACCUACCAUGGGAAGCUCCUCAGUUUAAAAUAUUGUACAAAACAAGUUUCAGAAGUGAUGUAUGGCGGGAUUCAAAAGGAUGGACAGGCCACUGGUUGGAGAAGAAGGUGACAGAGACAAUAGGAGAUAAUUUAUUGAGAGAGAAAGUUUAAAUUAAAAAAAAAAAAGCGUGUUGGGAUAAAUUGCCAAAGUUGCUAUAAAGAUUCACUGUGAAUAGAGAA
rnacentral:lncRNA from 1 species